rnacentral:lncRNA from 1 species
AAAACGGCGUCGUUCAAGUAGAAUUAAAUUGAAAUCGAAGAAAAGUUAGAGGGUAAAUUUAAAAAAAAAACAAAAAAACUCAAUUGCAAAAGCAUUUAAAGACGGAGGGGCCAAAAGCGCAAUUCGCCCCUCCGUAUAAAACACGCGGAUCCUAAAGCUGGGUCGGGUUGGAUUCGGGUCAACCCUGGCCUUAAACGGCGCCGUUUCAAAUUGGCUAUUUAAGCCAAAAUUAUUUUUAAAAAAAAUCAUUCUCUCAUUACUUAAGAUAAAAAAAACAGAAAGUCCUCCAAAAAACUCUCUCCCUCCCCAAUCAUCCGGCCUAGGUCCGGUCAUCAGCCGGUCAUCGGCCACCGCGCCGGCCGUCGAUCUCUGGCACCGGCACCACCGUUUGCGGUGGCCGAAAAAGGGGAAAAUUCCCCACUUGGCCUUCUCGACCUUUCUAAACCCGAAUCCGGGUUCAAAAUCCCCCCCCAAAAAAGCAAAGAACUGUAAUGGAUUCAAGAAACCUCUCGGUUUUCGGCCACCAAUCCUCGGGGGUGGCUCCCUCGUCCCCACGACGUCGCAGAUCCGAGCCUAGGUGAGUUCCUUCACCCUUUUUCUUUUAUAUUUUGCUUUUAUCUAUUACAGUACGCAAAGAAAAAAGUGUAAAACUAAAAAGAAAACAGAAGCAGAGGUUCGAAAUAAAAAUCAACCUUCGGUUCUUUCGAUUGAUUUUUCUCCGUUUGUAUUCUUUCUUUUUGCUGUGUAAAAUACUUGCUUUUCUUAUUGAUUUUCGAUCUUUUAUUACAGUAUAUUCAAUCUGCCUUUAUAGCCAUUAUGAAAAAUAAUAAUAUAAAGAAUCAAAUCUUGCUCAUAUUUGAUUCGUAAUCUUUGAUUUUCUUGCCAUUUCUGUUGUUUCUGUGCAGGUGAAGAUUUCAGCUCGUGGUGCUUGGUGGCUGCGGCGCGAGGCUCCCUCAGAAACCCUAGGGUUUCUGAAAUUGCUUUGGGCCUGGGUCUAAUUUUGGGCCUCUGUUUAUUCCAGUUUGGGCCCUUAUGGGCCGUUUGUAAUUUGGGCCUUUUACCCGGGCUAAAAUCGGGUAUUAC